rnacentral:rRNA from 1 species
UGGGGAAUAUUGGACAAUGGGCGCAAGCCUGAUCCAGCCAUGCCGCGUGAGUGAUGAAGGCCCUAGGGUUGUAAAGCUCUUUCACCGGUGAAGAUAAUGACGGUAACCGGAGAAGAAGCCCCGGCUAACUUCGUGCCAGCAGCCGCGGUAAUACGAAGGGGGCUAGCGUUGUUCGGAUUUACUGGGCGUAAAGCGCACGUAGGCGGACUUUUAAGUCAGGGGUGAAAUCCCGGGGCUCAACCCCGGAACUGCCUUUGAUACUGGAAGUCUUGAGUAUGGUAGGGGUGAGUGGAAUUCCGGGGGUAGGGGUGAAAUUCGUAGAUAUUCGGAGGAACACCAGUGGCGAAGGCGGCUCACUGGACCAUUACUGACGCUGGGGAGCGAAAGCGUGGGGAGCAAACAGG